rnacentral:rRNA from 1 species
GGAGGGAACACCAGUGUCGAAAGGCGACUGUUCUGGUCUUGUAACUGACACUGAGGCGCGAAAGCGUGGGGAUCAAACAGGAUUAUGAUACCCCUGGUAGUCCACUUCCGUAAUACGAUGAGUGCUAAGUGUUAGAGGGUUUCCGCCCUUUAGUGCUGAAGUUAACGCAUUAAGCACUCUCGCCUGGGGAGUACGGCCGCAAGUCUGAAACUCAAAGGAAUUGACGGGGGCCCGCACAAUCGGUGGAGCAUGUGGUUUAAUUCGAAGCAACGCGAAGAACCUUACCAGGUCUUGACAUCCUCUGAAAACCCUAGAGAUAGGGCUUCUCCUUCGGGAGCAGAGUGACAGGUGGUGCAUGGUUGUCGUCAGCUCGUGUCGUGAGAUGUUGGGUUAAGUCCCGCAACGAGCGCAACCCUUGAUCUUAGUUGCCAUCAUUAAGUUGGGCACUCUAAGGUGACUGCCGGUGACAAACCGGAGGAAGGUGGGGAUGACGUCAUAAUCAUCAUGCCCCUUAUGACCUGGGCUACACACGUGCUACAAUGGACGGUACAAAGAGCCUGCAAGACCGCGAGGUGGAGCUAAUCUCAUAAAACCGUUCUGCAGUUCGGUAUUGUAGGCUGCAACUCUGCCUACAUGAAGCCUGGUAUCG